rnacentral:rRNA from 1 species
UACGGGGGGGGGCAAGCGUUGUUCGGAAUUACUGGGCGUAAAGGGCUCGUAGGCGGCCAACUAAGUCCGACGUGAAAUCCCCAGGCUUAACCUGGGAACUGCGUCGGAUACUGGAUGGCUUGAAUUCGGGAGAGGGAUGCAGAAUUCCAGGUGUAGCGGUGAAAUGCGUAGAUAUCUGGAGGAACACCAAUGGCGAAGGCAGAUCUCUGGGCCGUAACUGACGCUGAGGAGCGAAAGCAUGGGGAGCGAACAGG